CACGUAGGGGGGCAAGCGUUGUCCGGAUUUAUUGGGCGUAAAGAGCUCGUAGGCGGCUUGGUAAGUCGGGUGUGAAACCUCCAGGCUCAACCUGGAGACGCCACUCGAUACUGCUAUGGCUAGAGUCCGGUAGGGGAGCGUGGAAUUCCUGGUGUAGCGGUGAAAUGCGCAGAUAUCAGGAGGAACACCAGCGGCGAAGGCGGCGCUCUGGGCCGGAACUGACGCUGAGGAGCGAAAGCAUGGGGAGCGAACAGG
rnacentral:rRNA from 1 species